UGCAGGAUUUUUGUGGGCCCUAAUGUAUGUGACAUAAGGUAUAAAUGUAACAUCAUUGCUCCAGACACUGAAUACCACAUUGAGGGAGGAGACAGAGUACAAGAUAUAUCUUCACAGAAUACAAGGAUGAAGCCCUUUGGAGCAUUGAGUCGUCUACAUGUCAUAUCGAGAAUUUUGAUUCGUCCACGAGCAUCUUUAAACAGUGUUGCUGGCUUUUACUUACCAGUUCGGCUUGAAUCAGGUUCAGCAAAGGUUACCAUUGGGGGCAUCUCAAAAGAAGUAAAGGAACCUAAAAACCCCGAGCUUGUUCCUGUUGGUUACUGUAAGUUUUAAAAAGUUUUU